ACCAGCUUAAAGCGCAGGGCUCUCGCCGAUGGGCUACUCCGACAACCAAUUAAAAUGCCUGCCAUCCCAAAGUUAAAACGUUUCAAACCAAAGCACCUUCUCCAUUCGGCCGGCGGUGCUCAACCUGCGGAGUGUCCCGGACCACAGACCACGUGAUUCCUGAUGACGCUCGGUCACCUCAUCCAAUCAGGGAACAGGGCUCAGCCCCGUCCGGGCAUCACCGAUUCCAACGGGCGGCAGCUGACCGACAGGCUAUACCUUUGUUGGAAGAAACCUUUGAUAUUUUUACUCUACUUGGAUUAAAGACCUUGAAACAUAUAAGCUUUAGAACAAUUUAAUCCUUUUUAAAACACAAUAUUUCUUCAUUGUGUUUAUUUAUUCUUAUAUCUUAAUAUUACACCAUUUUUGUUCCUCAAAUUGAUCCUUCUGUGUUGUUAUCAGUAUCACUGAGUAGGAAACCUGCUUCUGACCACA